CGAUAUGAGAGCGUUCUGGCUGCAACAUCUGUCACCCCAUUAAUUGCCAGGGUUGAUUUGGCAGAUCUGGCUGGCUAGGCAGGUGUCCCCUUCCUCCCUCACCACUCCAUGUGUGUCCCUCCCAAAGCUGCCUGCUCAGUGGAAGAGGACAACCACCCCUGAUAGAGGAGGACCGUUUCUUUGGUCAAGGGUAUAUGAGUAGCUGUGCUUCCCUGCUAGAACCUACAAACAAUCUCUCAUACAGGGCUUUGAACUUGGACCUUUUAACAAUGCUGAAACUGUUGACAAAUCUUAGAGAUGAACUAAAUAUGUUUUUCAUA
rfam:Heterocephalus glaber contig234415, whole genome shotgun sequence.